CUCAUUAACGAACGCCGCGAGACUUGUGAACGACGUCCACAGCUGAGACCCGCUUACGACAUGGAUAAUUUCAUUUGCAAGGACCGCUCGCCAGCAGAUGAGACUGUUGAAAGAAACGAGAAGAGGCCGGAUUUUUCUACGUCAAAUUGGUUGGGCGACUGACUUAUCCAAACAGCCUCGAUUGAAAGACCAACUCGGGAAAACACAUCCUGUUUUUGUGGUGCUGCUACGGAGUGAGGCCUUUUUAACUGCAUUAGUUUAACGUGAAAACAUCGCUGUGUAGGGAACCUUCAAAGAUGCCAUCUGCAGAAACGGAACUACUCCCUCACUUUCCAAUACCAUCAAUCUUAUCCAACCUUCCUUUCCCGGUGUUUGAGCCCAAAUAAAUCCAUCGAUUUUAA